GGACAACCUGCCCUCGGGUGGGGGAUAACCCCGGGAAACUGGGGCUAAUCCCCCAUAGGGGAUGGGUACUGGAAUGUCCCAUCUCCGAAAGCGCUUAGCGCCCGAGGAUGGGUCUGCGGCGGAUUAGGUUGUUGGUGGGGUAACGGCCCACCAAGCCGAAGAUCCGUACGGGCCAUGAGAGUAGGAGCCCGGAGAUGGACCCUGAGACACGGGUCCAGGCCCUACGGGGCGCAGCAGGCGCGAAACCUCCGCAAUGCGGGAAACCGCGACGGGGUCAGCCGGAGUGCUCGCGCAUCGCGCGGGCUGUCGGGGUGCCUAAAAAGCACCCCAUAGCAAGGGCCGGGCAAGGCCGGUGGCAGCCGCCGCGGUAAUACCGGCGGCCCGAGUGGCGGCCACUUUUAUUGGGCCUAAAGCGUCCGUAGCCGGGCUGGUAAGUCCUCCGGGAAAUCUGGUCGCUUAACGAUCAGACUGCCGGAGGAUACUGCCAGCCUAGGGACCGGGAGAGGCCGGGGGUAUUCCCGGGGUAGGGGUGAAAUCCUGUAAUCCCGGGAGGACCACCUGUGGCGAAGGCGCCCGGCUGGAACGGGUCCGACGGUGAGGGACGAAGGCCAGGGGAGCGAACCGGAUUAGAUACCCGGGUAGUCCUGGCUGUAAACGAUGCGGACUAGGUGUCACCGAAGCUACGAGCUUCGGUGGUGCCGGAGGGAAGCCGUUA
rnacentral:rRNA from 1 species